rnacentral:ncRNA from 2 species
AACUUUGUCAGUAAUAUCGGUUUCCGGAUUAGCCGUUGGCGCGAAACGGAAUUAAAAGGGAAUCCUGUGCAAAUCAGGAACUAUCCCCGUAGCUGUAAGUUUUAUCCUCCCAUAGUGUGGGGAAGUGUUGUGACAUUCUUAGCCACUGGUUAUUGUGAAAACCGGGAAGGCGCUACAACGGAAACAAGUCAGAAGACCUGCCGUUAUUGUUUAUAUCAU